rnacentral:rRNA from 1 species
AGUGAACGCUGGCGGUAGGCCUAACACAUGCAAGUCGAACGGCAGCACAGUAAGAGCUUGCUCUUACGGGUGGCGAGUGGCGGACGGGUGAGGAAUACAUCGGAAUCUACUUUUUCGUGGGGGAUAACGUAGGGAAACUUACGCUAAUACCGCAUACGACCUACGGGUGAAAGCAGGGGAUCUUCGGACCUUGCGCGAUUGAAUGAGCCGAUGUCGGAUUAGCUAGUUGGCGGGGUAAAGGCCCACCAAGGCGACGAUCCGUAGCUGGUCUGAGAGGAUGAUCAGCCACACUGGAACGGAGACACGGUCCAGACUCCUACGGAAGGCAGCAGUGGGGAAUAUUGGACAAGGGGCGCAGGCCUGAUCCAGCCAUACCGCGGGGGGAAGGAAGGCCUUCGGGUUGUAAAGCCCUUUUGUUGGGAAAGAAAAGCAGCAGGUUAAUACCCCGCUGUUCUGACGGUACCCAAAGAAUAAGCACCGGCUAACUUCGUG